rnacentral:rRNA from 1 species
CCGCGAAUAGCUCAUUACAAUAGCCGUUGUUUCUUGGAUCCUCAAUUUACUUGGAUACCUGUGGUAAUUCUAGAGCUAAUACAUGCGACUAAGGGCCGAACUCACGUGACGCUUGCAUUUAUUAGAUCAAGACUAACCGGCUUCGGCCGUUAACUUGGUGACUCUGAAUAACUCAGCUGAUCGCACGGUCUAGUGCCGGCGACAUAUCUUUCAAGUGUCUACCUUAUCAACUGUCGAUGGUAGUUUAUGUGACUACCAUGGUUGUAACGGGUAACGGAGAAUCAGGGUUUGACUCCGGAGAGGGAGCCUGAGAAACGGCUACCACUUCUAAGGAAGGCAGCAGGCGCGCAAAUUACACAAUCUCAGCACGAGGAUGUAGUGACGAAACAUACCGAGGCGAUGCCCUUUCGGGUGUCGUCAUUGGAAUGAGUCGAAUCUAAAAAAUUCGGCAAGGAUCUAGUGGAGGGCAAGUCUGGUGCCAGCAGCCGCGGUAAUUCCAGCUCCGCAAGUGUAUAUCUAUGCUGUUGCGGUUAAAAAGCUCGUAGUUUGAUUCGCGUACUUAGCACGCAGUGUGGCCUUUCGGCUACUACUGUGAUGCGGUACAUUAUCGUCAGUUUGUCGUUGAUGCUCUUCAUUGGGUGUCAGCGGCGGCUGUCAAGUUUACUUUGAACAAAUUAAAGUGCUCAAUACAGGCGUUUCGCUUGUAUAGUUCUGCAUGGAAUAAUAGAAUAGGACUUACGUUCUAUUGUGUUGGUUUUCAGAACGAAAGUAAUGAUUAAGAGGGACAGACGGGGUCAUUCGUACUGCCACGUUAGAGGUGAAAUUCUUGGAUCGUGGCAAGACGAACUACUGCGAAAGCAUUUGACAAGAAUGUUUUCAUUAAUCAAGAACGAAAGUUAUGGGUUCG